rnacentral:snRNA from 1 species
GGAUGUGAAGGUGAUCUGGCUGAGACAUUUUCACCCAUUGAUCGCUAGGGUUGAUUCAGCUGCUCUGGCUGGCUAAGCAGGUGUCCCCUCCUCCCUCACACUCCAUGUGCAUCCCUCCCAAAGCUAUGCUUGGUUGAAGAGGAUGAGCAUCCCCGCUAGUAGAGGAUCAGUCUUCAGUCAAGGGUAUAGCUGAGCUCACCUGCUAGAACCUCCAAACAAAUUCUCAAGACUGUAGGGACAACAGUGAAUUGUGCAUGCACUGAGCUGGGAACAAACUCGCAGAGCUCAGUGCAUUGCACUGCUUCCACAUCAAAAAUAAUAACAACUUU